GAUGAACGCUGGCGGCGUGCCUAAUACAUGCAAGUCGAGCGAACAGACGAGGAGCUUGCUCCUCUGACGUUAGCGGCGCACGGGUGAGUAACACGUGGAUAACCUACCUAUCAGACUGGGAUAACUUCGGGAAACCGGCGCUAAUACCGGAUAAUAUAUUGAACCGCAUGGUUCAAUAGUGAAAGACGGUUUUGCUGUCACUUAUAGAUGGAUCCGCGCCGCAUUAGCUAGUUGGUAAGGUAACGGCUUACCAAGGCAACGAUGCGUAGCCGACCUCAGAGGGUGAUCGGCCACACUGGAACUGAGACACGGUCCAGACUCCUACGGGAGGCAGCAGUAGGGAAUCUUCCGCAAUGGGCGAAAGCCUGACGGAGCAACGCCGCGUGAGUGAUGAAGGUCUUCGGAUCGUAAAACUCUGUUAUUAGGGAAGAACAAAUGUGUAAGUAACUAUGCACGUCUUGACGGUACCUAAUCAGAAAGCCACGGCUAACUACGUG
rnacentral:rRNA from 1 species